rnacentral:lncRNA from 1 species
CAGCUGUUGACUUAGUAUGUUUAAAUGAAUGAAAGAAUGAAGGUUGCUGUGGCUCGGGCCUUGAGUCCUGGUCCCCGGGGAGAUGCCAUGGGGAGGCGGUGGGAACACGAGUGCGUGGGGGCGUGGGGGUUUUCAUUUACAGGGACGCACCCCUGAAGGGGCAGUGGCACUCUGCUCUCCUCUCUUUUUACUUCCUGGCUCACUGUGAGGUGAGGGGUUUGGCUUUGCUCUGCUCUGCUGACAGGGUGUGCAGCCUCACCACCGGCCAAACACCAAUGGGGUGGUGAGUAGUGGGACCGGAACCUCCACAACUCCCUCUCCUCCCUAAGGCGAUCCCUUCAGGGGCUGGUCACAGCUGGGGAAAGCUGAUGGACACACAGGCCCGAUUCGCUGCAGGAACCCAGGCUCAGCACUCUCGGUUGGUACUAAGCUCCCCAGCGUGGCGGUCACGGAAGCCUCUCUUCUCCUCACCCUCUACUUUGAAAUAAACAAUGUGCGGUUGUCCAACAACGUGCCACAACUAUUUCCCUUUUAACUGAACAACAAAAAGAUGAGAAAAUCUCAAAUCAUCUGAUUUGGGAGCUGGAGCUCUCUUGCUGUUCCAGGAGGGGCCAGUCCAGCGCUGGAGGCCACCAGGGUGGCAGGGGGAGAGGGACAAGUGGGGACCCCACGGGCGGGCAACUUGGUGGCUCCUCCCUACUGACGGGUCAUCGGCCGUGGAUGACAGGAGUCAAACAAAGCACUCGUGAAAUUGCAGUGCCGCAGAGGGGGUGAGGACCAAGGAACCUCGAUCUGCUCUUCCUCUUACUUGAUUUUUAAAAGCAGAGAAAGAAAGAAAAAAAAGUAGGGGAAGAAAGCCACGCUCUCCCCAGCUCCCGGGCCGCUGACGUCCUUGGUCUUCGCACACCCGCUGCAGCAGCGCGUCAGGAAUGCGACCCACCGCCGCAGCCUGCUGUGAUGCCUGUGAGCCUAGUCGGAUGCGGCAGCUCUCACGAAUUUAACACAAGUGCUGCUGCUGCUGAAGCUGACCUUCCGAGCGUGAUUGGAUCGGAGCCUUGGGACUACGAACCCCAGAGGACAGCGGGCUGGGGGAAGGACAACUGCAUCCAAGCGGAGUGAUGAGAAAUAGUGUGGCUGAAAUUUGGGUCUGCUCUGUCCUGCUGAUCGCGCCUGGAGCUGUGGACGCCAGCACUUCCCUUCUCUGGACUGGAGUGAGUCUCCAUCAGCACAGUGGGAAAAGCUCCAC